GAUGAACGCUGGCGGCGUGCCUAAUACAUGCAAGUCGAGCGAACGGACGAGAAGCUUGCUUCUCUGAUGUUAGCGGCGGACGGGUGAGUAACACGUGGAUAACCUACCUAUAAGACUGGGAUAACUUCGGGAAACCGGAGCUAAUACCGGAUAAUAUUUUGAACCGCAUGGUUCAAAAGUGAAAGACGGUCUUGCUGUCACUUAUAGAUGGAUCCGCGCUGCAUUAGCUAGUUGGUAAGGUAACGGCUUACCAAGGCAACGAUGCAUAGCCGACCUGAGAGGGUGAUCGGCCACACUGGAACUGAGACACGGUCCAGACUCCUACGGGAGGCAGCAGUAGGGAAUCUUCCGCAAUGGGCGAAAGCCUGACGGAGCAACGCCGCGUGAGUGAUGAAGGUCUUCGGAUCGUAAAACUCUGUUAUUAGGGAAGAACAUAUGUGUAAGUAACUGUGCACAUCUUGACGGUACCUAAUCAGAAAGCCACGGCUAACUACGUGCCAGCAGCCGCGGUAAUACGUAGGUGGCAAGCAUUAUCCGGAAUUAUUGGGCGUAAAGCGCGCGUAGGCGGUUUUUUAAGUCUGAUGUGAAAGCCCACGGCUCAACCGUGGAGGGUCAUUGGAAACUGGAAAACUUGGGUGCAGAAGAGGAAAGUGGAAUUCCAUGUGUAGCGGUGAAAUGCGCAGAGAUAUGGAGGAACACCAGUGGCGAAGGCGACUUUCUGGUCUGUAACUGACGCUGAUGUGCGAAAGCGUGGGGAUCAAACAGGAUUAGAUACCCUGGUAGUCCACGCCGUAAACGAUGAGUGCUAAGUGUUAGGGGGUUUCCGCCCCUUAGUGCUGCAGCUAACGCAUUAAGCACUCCGCCUGGGGAGUACGACCGCAAGGUUGAAACUCAAAGGAAUUGACGGGGACCCGCACAAGCGGUGGAGCAUGUGGUUUAAUUCGAAGCAACGCGAAGAACCUUACCAAAUCUUGACAUCCUUUGACAACUCUAGAGAUAGAGCUUUCCCCUUCGGGGGACAAAGUGACAGGUGGUGCAUGGUUGUCGUCAGCUCGUGUCGUGAGAUGUUGGGUUAAGUCCCGCAACGAGCGCAACCCUUAAGCUUAGUUACCAUCAUUAAGUUGGGCACUCUAAGUUGACUGCUGGUGACAAACCGGAGGAAGGUGGGGAUGACGUCAAAUCAUCAUGCCCCUUAUGAUUUGGGCUACACACGUGCUACAAUGGACAAUACAAAGGGCAGCGAAACCGUGAGGUCAAGCAAAUCCCAUAAAGUUGUUCUCAGUUCGGAUUGUAGUCUGCAACUCGACUACAUGAAGCUGGAAUCGCUAGUAAUCGUAGAUCAGCGUGCUACGGUGAAUACGUUCCCGGGUCU
rnacentral:rRNA from 1 species